CACUGUGACUGCCCAGCUGUCUAGAGUUACUUGGUCCCAACAAUGGGAAACAAAGCAUAGAAAGAAGCCACAUUAGGAAGCUGACUUCUCCUCAGGGCCGAAGAUGUGGACUUCACAUUCACAGGUACUGGCGCUUCCCUCCUCUUCAUUCUUUUCCUUUAUUUUUGAUUUUCCCAAAGACUUGAGGAAAAAAACACUGCAUUUGCAUCUACAUCGUCUCUUCCUACUCCAACUCUUCUCUUCCCCAUCCACUCCCUCUCUUCUUCUUCUAUAAUUAUUGUUAUAUUUUGUUCACAACCAUCCCAAACACACACACACACACACACACACACACACACACAAAUCUUCUGAGUCCAGCUAGUAUUCCCUUAUUUGAAUGUGUCUGGAGCUAAACACACUUGGGGUGAUCUCCUAAACAAACAAACAAACAAAGAACAAAAAAAAAAACGGUUUAUUCCCGUCUUCUGCAAGCACAGAUAUGAUGUGGGAGUGAUUUCUUACUAAUAAAGAAACUGCCUAGGCCCAUUUGAUAGGCCAACCCUUAGGUGGGUGGAGAAAACAGAAGAGAAUUCUGGGAGAAAGCAGCUUAGUGAAGGAGUCGCCAUGAUUCUCCCGCUCCAGACAGACGCAGGUUAAGAUCCUCCCUGGCUAAAGGGAAUUGCCCUAAACAGGUCCAUGAGCAGGCCUGGGCUGAAGACCUGGGAACUCGCCAAUGCAUCUUCUACAGGAAGAACAAGCUGGAAAGUCUGCCUUAAUUAACCUGCUUUUCAUCUGGAAGAGGAUCUCUGAGCAUCUCAGCCUGCCUGGAGACAAAUGGGAAGGAGCUUGUCAAACAUUCCUACAAGGACAGGAAAGGGAAGUUGGGAGGGCAAAGGUCAGCUUGGAGGACUGCUCAGACUCAAAUAACUAUCUGCAACUCACUAAUUGGGCUGCCAAAAUAUUUCAGGGCAAAGAGGAGAGAGGCAGAUAAAUAGUUUUGCAGCAAAGGGUCAACGGGGGCUCAGUGAAGAGGUAGAGUCAAACCCCUCCAUCAAGUGCGGUCUGGGGAUUAAGUGGUUCUGGAUGAGUCUGGGGUAGCUGGUAGCCAUGGAACCUCCUGUUUCCAUCUCAAGGUCGAGACUACACCUCUGCUUUAUCUCACCCCUCAGCGUGACGGUACUACAGGGCAGAUUGCUGGUUGAGAGCCGGGAAGGUGUGUUACUAAGUACAGGUUACCAAGGAGACUGAGAAGGCUAAGUCAGGGGGAAGAGGCUCCUCGUGCUUCUUCAGAGGGCAAAGCCAGGGUCCCAGAAGGAAAUGAGAGGCCAGUGCAGUGUCACUAGCGGAAGGCAAAGAAGGCCAUGUGGUUUGUGAGCAGAGGAAGCUUAAGACGGAGACUAGAUUAUGUGAAAGCAAAAAGAGGGCAUGUUUGCCUGCACCUUCUCUGCCCCGACCCCUACUCUUGCCCACCUAUACUUCCCUUAGCAAAUCAGGUGGGACAUGAAGUAUGUCCCCCAUCACGCUACUCCUUGGUAUGAACUUCUGGCCACUGUCUCAAGUGAGUUCCCAGAGAUGUGCAGGCAAG